AGCUUAGAGAGCUUGCUUUUUAAGCUUAGUGGCGAACGGGUGAGUAACGCGUGGGUAACCUGCCUUGUACUGGGGGAUAGCAGCUGGAAACGGCUGGUAAUACCGCAUAAGCGCACGGUAUCGCAUGAUACAGUGUGAAAAACUCCGGUGGUAUAAGAUGGACCCGCGUCUGAUUAGCUUGUUGGUGAGGUAACGGCUCACCAAGGCGACGAUGCGUAGCCGACCUGAGAGGGUGAUCGGCCACAUUGGGACUGAGACACGGCCCAAACUCC
rnacentral:rRNA from 1 species